GGAGAUUGUCACAGAUGGGGAAGAGCCCGCCGAGAUGAUCCAGGUCCUGGGCCCCAAGCCAGCUCUGAAGGAGGGCAACCCCGAGGAAGACCUCACAGCUGACAGGACAAAUGCCCAGGCCGCGGCUCUGUAUAAGGUCUCUGAUGCCACCGGACAGAUGAACCUGACCAGGGUGGCCGACUCCAGUCCCUUUGCCCUUGAGCUGCUGCUGUC